GCCGGUGUGGUGGAACUGGUAGACACGCAGGAUUUAGGUUCCUGUGUCUUCGGACGUGCAGGUUCGAGUCCUGUCACCGGCACCC
rnacentral:tRNA from 2 species